rfam:Salmo salar isolate Sally breed double haploid chromosome ssa16, whole genome shotgun sequence.
UGCAUUAACUACUGUAAGUCGCUCUGGAUAAAAGUGUCUGCUAAAUGACUAAAA